GCAAUGCGGGUGUGGCGCCGUUACGUGGCGAGUGGGCAGACAAGUAGGCGUAGUUUCUUCAACCAGCGACCAUGUUAUAAAUUGGGGGGUCAGCCUGCGUUCUCAAGGAUUCAUUCAUAACUUAAAGAGCCCUUACUUUUUGGAAAGGACUUUUAAUAGCUAGAACCAUUACAAAUUGUUUAAAGUACCAAGAUCUAAACAAAACUACUACUAAUAAGAAUUGGGGAAAAAUAGUAAUAGUAGAAAAACAAAAUCAAUUAAAAUUGUCUACAUUCAAAAAGUAUUUAUCUGAAACUUAUUCUUGUCAUAUUACUGGAAUAUCUGUCGCAACAGAAGCAAUAUUAAUAACGUGAUACAACUAAAAAAAAACAAAGAGAAGAUUACGAAAACAGAUCGACGUAAAGAUUAUCUACUACUUAAUUUAAAACAAAAAUUGUGAAUACUAAUUUUUAACAUUUUGCAACAUUUUGUUACUGACGAGAAUAUUGUUAUAAUCAUGGAGAUAUCUAAUAAACAUUGUAGAUCUGGACGAAUGUACACCCCAGAGGUCCACGGCAAGAGCUUAGCGUCCCAGUGCUCUGGUCAGUCACUGAAGCAUUUCAAUAAGGACAAUAUGGUCCAGGAUUCUAGAACCAACUAUAGCUUCCUUCAGUCACACUUCCAUUCGACAGACAGCCUGGCCAGUGCGCCGUCAUCUUCCCGUCAUGCAACUGAAUUUCUGAGGAACUUUCUCAUCCAGUCAGUAUCGGGUGAAUUUUUGUCUUUGACCAACAAACAGUCCUCCAAUUGUAUUCUUCUGGCCGUCUUUCUCCUCACAGUCUCCGCCCUGGUGUGCCCUAACGAGGCGAGGUCUGUAGGAGUCUGCAACGGAAUUCCCUGCGCCAACGGCGGAAAAAUUUUAGUCUCUAACAGUGUUUGGGGCAACUGUAGGUGCAGGUGUCCGUCAGGGUUUGUCGGACCUUACUGUCAGUACGUAGCUGCUUUGACAGAUAGCGCUUUGAGUGUCGAAAACAAUCUCGUCGACGUAAGCACCCCAAUGUGGAGAUUUGCUAUAGAUACACUAAUGGGUAUAAUUAUUCGCGCGGUUAUUAACGAGGAUGAACUUGACGAAGCCAAGUGAAUUGGACAACGAGAAAAAGUCAGAGAAGAUCUUGGAAAAUAACCUGAUUGCUCCAAAGUUCGACGACUCCCAAUCUGCAGAUUCCCUUCAACAGCGAUACAUUCCUUUUGAAUCUCACUAAUGUAGAACUAUCUACUUCACUUUGACAUUCAACAAUAUUUCGAUAAAAGACCGAUGGAUCUCAAACAAAUUCGACUCUCCUCAACUGGCUCAAAACUCUGAAAGACGACAUCUUUGUUUUAAUUUUAGCUUUUCAAAGUAGGAUCAAUGUUAUGAAAUAUUUCUUUAAACAUAUUAAUAGGCCACACAAACGCGUUGAUCGGGGUGCAAUUGUUUGAGCUCUAUGUCUAUUAUGUAUUUCUGUGUAUAAGAUUUUCUAAAUGUGUUAAUUUUAAGUGUCCAGUAAAUGAACAACUAAUAAGGUCAUUUGUAAGUGUCCAGUCAAUGAACAACUAAUAAGGUCAUCUGUAAGUGUCCAGUCAAUGAACAACUAAUAAGGUCAUCUGUAAGUGUCCAGUCAAUGAACAACUAAUAAGGUCAUCUGUAAGUGUCCAGUCAAUGAACAACUAAUAAGGUCAUCUGUAAGGGCCCAGUCAAUGAACAACUAAUAAGGUCAUUUGUAAGUGUCCAGUCAAUGAACAACUAAUAAGGUCAUUUGUAAGGGCCCAGUCAAUGAUUUCUUAUCAACGUCUAACACCAAGCUAGGGUAUAAACAGAUAACACGUGACAGAUCGCAUGACAUAACCCAUUGCAUAUUAACACAUGACAUAAUCCAUAGCUUAACACAUGACAACUCAAGACACAUGAUAUAACACAUGACAUAAAACAUUAACACAUGACAUAACACAUGAUAAAUGGCAUAACACGUGACACAUUAUACAUAACAUAUGACACAUUAUACAUAUUACAUAAUGCAUAAACAUGACACAUGAUAACACAAGAGCUAUGUUGAAAAAGUACUUGUACUAAUCUAUUGUCCAGCUAACUGAUACAUGUCAUUAAAAUGUAGGCUUGGUGACAAAAUAACGUUACUAAAUUAAAAUCAUGAGCCAAUAUUCUCUAGCACUUACAAGAUGGACAUUCAUUAAAUCCAAUCAAAUGUCAUUGUAUUGAAGGAUUGGGAUUCUCUUCUGCUGAAGCAGGUCUGAUUAAUAACAAGAAUCUUCGUAUGCAUUUGUUUAAUCCAAAAGAUUUUUUCUAUGUUCGUUGUCAUAUGUACUGUCACCAUUAUUACAAUGGGAUUUUUUUUUUAAUUCGGUAGAGGCUUUAUUACCUUAUUAACAAAAUAUUGAAUUAUUUGUUAUAUUUUGUUACUUUUUGUGAUAUUUGUAAUACAGUGUUAAUAAUCAUUGCAGAAUUAAAGUAGAUCUGGUCAAAUAACAAUUGAAUGUCUUGUGUUUAACCAGCUGGCCUCAUUAAAGGAAAUCAGUUCGUGGAGUUAGGAACCAUUUCUUGCUUGUUUUUAUACUAGUGUUUAAAGACCACGUGCUAUUAUCAAUAUUAGAGUUUUUAGAAUGCUAUUAGAAAAUGUGCAAGCUGAUAUACCUACAUCAUAUCAGAGAGGGUGAUGCAGCUCUAGUGUGCGUCUAGCUCCACACCAUGCCGCCCCCACUUAUAGACUUCAUUUUAACGAUUUUCUUGUUCAAAUGAGCGACACACACAUUCUGUGACCAACAGACUUGCAGUGCGGCCAUCAAUCACACACGUACACAGUGGAGGAGAUGUGCUAGAUAGAAACAACAGCAGCAUGAAAGUGAUACCGUGACAGUAAUACCGUGAUAAUGAUACCGUGACAGUGAUACCGUGACAGUGAUACCGUGAAAGUGUAUGCCAUGUGACAUACACGAUAUUUAAAACUGCCUGUUUUUUGUUUUGAUCUCAGGCACUGCUUCUGUUGAUCAAUUGUCUGGAGGAUAUGGAGUGCACGUCCGAUGACUAUAUAAGUGUAUUGCUAAGUAUAGAUUUAUAAUGUCUAAAUUAGAUCUACUGUAUUCAAACUCAAACUUAAGCAAUGCUUCCUGCCAUGUUAGAAACAAAAAUGAUGUGUUUAGCUUUUAUUUAUUAAUCCCCCCCUCCAGACAUAGACGGCGAAAAUCGACCACUGGUGGACAAUGGUUGUGCCUGCGCUGGAUGUGGCAAAAUAUGUGUCUAAAUUAUGUAUUGUAUUUACUCAAUUUGACAAUGUGUAUCCCUACUCUGUACCUGGAUGACAACCAAAAUAAACUUGUUGGCUUCAACAUGUUCCAAAUGGACUCUCAUCUUUCAUGCUCUAUGUCCAUAGUAUUAAUGAUCAUGUUUUGUUAUGUGUGUGUUUUAAAGUGAUAUCUAUAAAACAAAUGUUUAAAGAACUGCUAGAAAAUCAAUUCUGUAAACAAAAAAUACUAUUUCUUAUUUUUAUUUUAUGCAAUUUGAUUUCAUUGUACUCUUAGCAAAGCAAGCAGAAACAUCAUUUCGAUACCAUUUUGCUUUUAAGUAAUAGUGUUUCAAAAUUUCUAAAAGAAUUAAAGUACUGAUAUAACACGGCUUUAAACUUUGUUCCUAAUUAUCAAAUUAAUUUUUCUAUGAAAUGACAUGGUCGCGUGAUGACCUAAUGAGUGUUUUUACUACCAUUGGUUGCUAAAAAUAGUUCAAAUCUAUUGGCUUGUGGUUCUGACACUAGGCCAUCACUGUGGUAACGAUUCCUUUAGAUCUACGUGUGUGUGGUCCUGGGCCGUCACUGUGGUAACGAUUCCUUUAGAUCUACGUGUGUGUGGUCCUGGGCCAUCACUGUGAUAACGAUUCCUUUAGAUCUACGUGUUUUGAUUUCUUUUGCUUCUCUUUAUUUAGUUGACCUCUUGUACUAGACAUUUUAAAGCAGAUAUUCCUCUGCUGACUCAUCCUUUAUUUAUUUCUAGCGAAUGUUUUGUUAUGGUUAGGGUUUAACUGUUAAUAUUUAUCUAAGACGUACACUUACGACAGUAUAACUCCAAUGAAGAGCUGUGACCAUAUGUGACCGAGAAUCAUAGCUCCUGUUGUAAUAUGGCUACUAUCCGUGGGUUAGUUUGGUAUUUUGUUUUUUGUUUCAACUUAAUUGAUGCAUAAUGAAUGGUUGCUAAAUGAAUUGAGCAGAUUUUUGCUGAGACUGUAACCAAAACACAUACUUGUAUCUUGCCUGUUAAAGCUUGUUGUUAUUUUAAUUUAUUAUUUUAUUGGGAAUAAAGUGUUGCUACAAAAAGGAAAAA